rnacentral:tRNA from 1 species
GGCCUGUUAGCUCAGCUGGUUAGAGCGGCAAUCUUAUAAAUUGUGUGUGCCGGGUUCAAUUCCCGGACAGGCCA